rnacentral:rRNA from 1 species
GCUCGUGUCGUGAGAUGUUGGGUUAAGUCCCGCAACGAGCGCAACCCUUAUUGUUAGUUGCCAUCAUUNAGUUGGGCACUCUAGCAAGACUGCCGGUGACAAACCGGAGGAAGGUGGGGAUGACGUCAAAUCAUCAUGCCCCUUAUGACCUGGGCUACACACGUG